rnacentral:rRNA from 1 species
GACGAACGCUGGCGGCGUGCCUAAUACAUGCAAGUCGAACGCAGUGGGGACGGGUGCGUAACACGUGGGUAACCUCCCAUCAGAGGGGAUAACACUUGGAAACAGGUGCUAAACCGAUACUGAUGGAUGGACCCGCGGUGCAUUAGCUAGUUGGUGAGGUAACGGCUCGCCAAGGCCACGAUGCAUAGCCGACCGGUGAGGUGGAGCGGCCACACUGGGACUGAGACACGGCCCAGACUCCUACGGGAGCCAGCAGUAGGUAAUAGGCGGAAAUGGCGGAAAGUCUGACCGAGAAACGCCGAGUGAGUGAAGAAGGUUUUCGGAUCGUAAAACUCUGUUGUUAGAGAAGCGGUAUCUAACCAGAAAGCCACGGCUAACUACGUGCCAGCAGCCGCGGUAAUAC